rnacentral:rRNA from 1 species
CCUACGGGAGGCAGCAGUGAGGAAUAUUGGUCAAUGGGCGCGAGCCUGACCCAGCCAAGUAGCGUGAAGGAUGACUGCCCUCCGGUUUGUAACCUUCUUUUAUAAAGGCAUAAAGUGAGGCACGUGUGCCUUUUUGUAUGUCCUUUAUGAAUAAGGAUCGGCUAACUCCGUGCCAGCAGCCGCGGUAAUACGGAGGAUCCGAGGGUUAUCCGGGUUUAUUGGGUUUAAAGGGAGCGUAGAUGGGUUGUUAAGUCAGUUGUGAAAGUUUGAGGCUUAACCGUAAAAUUGCAAUUGAUACUGGCAGUCUUGAGUACAGUGGAGGUAGGCGGAAAUCGUGGUGGAGCGGGGAAAUGCUUAG